rnacentral:rRNA from 1 species
GAUGAACGCUGGCGGCGUGCCUAAUACAUGCAAGUCGAGCGAACAGACGAGGAGCUUGCUCCUCUGACGUUAGCGGCGGACGGGUGAGUAACACGUGGAUAACCUACCUAUAAGACUGGGAUAACUUCGGGAAACCGGAGCUAAUACCGGAUAAUAUAUUGAACCGCAUGGUUCAAUAGUGAAAGACGGUUUUGCUGUCACUUAUAGAUGGAUCCGCGCCGCAUUAGCUAGUUGGUAAGGUAACGGCUUACCAAGGCGACGAUGCGUAGCCGACCUGAGAGGGUGAUCGGCCACACUGGAACUGAGACACGGUCCAGACUCCUACGGGAGGCAGCAGUAGGGAAUCUUCCGCAAUGGGCGAAAGCCUGACAGAGCAACGCCGCGUGAGUGAUGAAGGUCUUCGGAUCGUAAAACUCUGUUAUUAGGGAAGAACAAAUGUGUAAGUAACUAUGCACGUCUUGAUGGUACCUAAUCAGAAAGCCACGGCUAACUACGUG